rnacentral:rRNA from 1 species
AUGUCCUUGUCAAAUCACACAUACAGAGUAAUUAAACUACCAGGUGUCAGUGAAUUGAUGGGAUAUCCCAAUAACCACCAUCUCGGGAGAUCGUUGAGAGGGGUGUAUUAUGCAAUACUUGAUGACCGGAGUCGACUUCAGGUUUGGUAUCUCAGUGAAUCAUGCGGUCGAAUAGAAUGGAUAUUAAAACAUGAUACAUGUCUUAAGACCUUUGAACAUGAUGACUAUGCUCAACAAGUGGGCAGACAAUGGAUCUUACAAGAUGUUAACUACCGUAAGUGGUGCUCUGAAGAUCCCGAGAAUCACAAAGCGACCGUGGAAGAGAAAUAUGAUUGGAACUCUGGUGAGGAUAACGUUAUUGACACUGAAAACGUCGUUGAAGAGGCUGAAGACGCCGAUGGAGAUUAUUUCCUCCUUGGAUUUCAUCCUUACAAGGAGGUUGUCUUCUUGAUUUCAUCUGCAAUAACAACCAGAGGACUGGCCUAUGACUGA